rnacentral:rRNA from 1 species
AUUGAACGCUGGCGGCAGGCCUAACACAUGCAAGUCGAGCGAGCGGCGGACGGGUGAGUAAUGUCUGGGAAACUGCCCUAUGGAGGGGGAUAACUACUGGAAACGGUAGCCAAUUCCGCAUACCAUCAGAUGUGCCCAGUUUGGCUUAGCUAGUAGGUGGGGUAACGGCUCACCAAGGCGACGAUCCCUAGCUGGCCUGAGAGGAUGACCAGCCACACUGGAACUGAGACACGGUCCAGACUCCUACGGGAGGCAGCAGUGGGGAAUAUUGCACAAUGGGCGCAAGCCUGAUGGAGCCAUGCCGCGUGAGUGAAGAAGGCCUUCGGGUUGUAAAGCACUUUCAGCGGGGAGGCGGUACCCGCAGAGGAAGCACCGGCUAACUCCGUGCCAGCAGCCGCGGUAAUUC